rnacentral:lncRNA from 1 species
UUUAUGGAUGAGGAACUGAGGCAAACGGGGUAAAGUGACUUGCCCAGAGUCACACAACCAGCUAUAUUUGAAGAAAGCAAGAUCUAGAGUGAGGACUUUCCUUGAAGAGGAUUGAAAGACUAUCACUGGCAACAAAGAGAAUGCAUGCAAUUGGUCUAUGUUCCCGAGCUGCUCAUUCUCCUUACACUAGAUACCCAGACUCUUCUGUUAUGGAAGGAAACAAGAGAGAUCGGUGAGACAAAGGAAUACAUCUCGGAUGAAGCAGAUGGAUGAAAAAAGACUAGAGAAGUUCAUUGGGUUUGUCAGAAGAAAGUGGACUCUCUGAGCAAACCAACCCUGGCCAGGGAAGUGGAAAGUAGAAGGCUCGCCUAGUUAAAAUGUUCUGCAACAAUGAAAAUGUCUUAAAAUCAGUGUGGUAACUCUGUUGCAGACUAGCUGACUCUGGGGGCCCUCUCCCAUUUUCCCUGCUCAUAACUUGUUUUGUGGUUCCAGUAAGAAAUGGAAACUAGGAGGCUAUCCAUCAAAUAAGGAAUAGCCAAACA